CGCCGUCGUAAGAGAUCAAAGAAGCUGAGCAAACAAGUAAAAAUUACCAGCAAAAGGUAAGAGAACUAGAGAAUCAAUUAAAUGGUGAGAGGACAACCAAGAAGGAUGUUGCAAAGUUCCCAAAGCCUUCAGUGGCUCCUUUAAGAUGGAGGCCUUCUUUACAAAAAAUCACCAAUCAAU